rnacentral:rRNA from 1 species
AGAGUUUGAUCAUGGCUCAGAAUCAACGCUGGCGGCGUGCCUAACACAUGCAAGUCGAACGAGAAAGUGGAGCAAUCCAUGAGUAAAGUGGCGACCGGGUGAGUAACACGUGACUAACCUACCCUACAGUGGGGGGAUAACUCCGGGAAACGGGGCUAAUACCGCAUAACAUCGUAAGAUCAAAGGAGCAAUUCGCUGAAGGAGGGGGUCGCGGCUGAUUAGUUAGUUGGUGAGGUAACGGCUCACCAAGACGAAGAUCAGUAGCCGGCCUGAGAGGGCGCACGGCCACACUGGAACUGAAACACGGUCCAGACUCCUACGGGAGGCAGCAGUGGGGAAUUUUGCGCAAUGGGGGAAACCCUGACGCAGCAACGCCGCGUGGAGGAUGAAGUCCCUUGGGAUGUAAACUCCUUUCGAUCGGGACGAUUAUGACGGUACCGGAAGAAGAAGCACCGGCUAACUCUGUGCCAGCAGCCGCGGUAAUACAGAGGGUGCAAGCGUUGUUCGGAAUUAUUGGGCGUAAAGGGUGCGUAGGCGGUGCGGUAAGUCUGUAGUGAAAUCUCUGGGCUCAACUCAGAGUCUGCUAUAGAAACUGCCGUGCUUGAGUGUGGGAGAGGUGAGUGGAAUUCCCGGUGUAGCGGUGAAAUGCGUAGAUAUCGGGAGGAACCCUGUGGCGAAAGCGGCUCACUGGACCACAACUGACGCUGAUGCACGAAAGCUAGGGGAGCAAACAGGAUUAGAUACCCUAGUAGUCC